CAAUUGACUUCCAAUCUUUAAAAUCUGGUUUAAACCCAGAGAAGAGUA
rnacentral:tRNA from 2 species